AGAGAACAACAAAUUAAGGUACUAAGUGUGCCAAGUAAGUGUGCCAAAUUCCCACCUGUGAUGUGAAGAGAGGGUGACUCCAAUAUUGUUUAGAAGAAAUCUGACAGAAGAUGAAAGCAAGAAAUUCAUUAUACUGCUACAGCUGCAGGUCAGGAUUCAGUGUACAACUCACAUCUGAAUUCCGACUGUAGAAAACUUUUGUACCUCCAGGAACCAAUGCAAAAUUCAAGCAGGAGAAGAACCCUAUUUUCCUCCCUAUUUCCAAGCUGCUAGGUUGUACCCAUGCCUCUACAUGCUGGAAUCUGCAUGACUGCUAUUGUAGAGGCAACAGUGCUAGGAACUUCUGCUUAAUCCUUCCAGUGCCCUAGGGACCAUACUUGAAGAAUUCUGACAUGGAACCAGUGGACUGAGACUCCAGGCUACCAUUGCUGUUGUCCUAGUGGAUUUUAGAGAAGAACUGAGAGCUGAUGUCCAAACAUGGAUGAUCACCAUCUUGCCCAGGGUCUGUGCUGGAGGCUCGAGGAAGAGCAGUGUCCAUCCUUGCUGUCUCCAAUGGACACAGGCUAGCAGUACUUGUGUAGUUCUGAUCCACUUCAGUUGUCUUCUGUGAUGUAUGUCAGUGAUCAGUACAUCUACCUAUGGGAAUGUGAAGUACUUAAUAUGUUCUGGAAGAUCAGCUAUUAGGCACCUUGGGAAAUGGAGUUGAAUGUACCCUAUAAUUGUAUAGUAUGAACUGUGUGUGACAGGACAGGGGACAAUAAUAUUAAAAUGAAAGAGAGUAAAUUUAGAUUGAAUCUAAGGAAGAAAUUCUUUGUAAUGAGAGUACUGGAACACAGAAAAAAACUGCCCAGAAAGGUUGUGGGCACUUCAUCACUGGAAGGGCUCAGAGUUGAACUGAACAGGGCUUUGGUUAACCUGAUCUACUGAAAGGUGUCUCUGCCCACAUCAGGGGAUUAGAUGAGACAGUCCAGCCCACACCAUUCUAUGGUGCUCUGAACAUGGAAUGGGGCGUGUGAUGCAGCUUGCAGAUAACCUCGCAAUAGCUGAAUUUGUGUUUUUAUUGCUACCAAUGCAAAUCCAAAACAUGGCGCAGAGGUACAGUGAUCUCAAACAAAUAAUUAAUAAGAUUCUGGAUCUGAAUGUUACUAUAUUAUAUAUUCAUCCCUAAAUUGCUUCAUUCUAACUUCUCCCUGUAGACAUAUUCUAUUGGAAACAUAUGAAAAAGUUCCAAACAUAAAUGGCAUGUCCCUAAUAAAUAAAUGAUUAUGCUGG
rnacentral:lncRNA from 7 species